GGGCGUUCAGGACACGGACGUAGUGAGCCGCCUGACCAGAGCCAUGAAAAAACACAAGGUGAGGUAUUGACUUUGGCAUGAGGACCUCUCCCAGUCCCAGCCCCUUUCUCUUGGGGGUCUUGUACUGUGUCUGCCCGGAAGGAGAAUCAGAGAACGAACUUCUUCAGGCACAUCCCACUGUAGCACAGAUGUGGCCAUUUUGGAUCAACCCACUGGGGACCCUUUGUCUGUGGGGUCGCUCCCAUCACUGUUGAAAGGUAGCCCAGCACCUCCCUGCACUUCCCUGAGUCCCCCACUGGCUGCAGCCCUUCAGGGGGACUUAGUUAAACCCCGGGCUGUGCAUAUCCACCCCUCCUCUCUCAGGCUCCACAGAUGGCUUGCUCCUUGAUGAGCUGGAAAGUGCAGCACAAAUAAAUCCCAACUGCUUGUUACCCCGAAGGAAAGAGUACACACAUAUGUGUGUGUGUGUGUGUGUGAAUGUGUGUGAGAGAGUGUGUGUGUGUGUAUUUUUGCUGUGCCAGGGAUUGCACCAGGGCCUCUCCAGUGCUAGCUGAGUGCUCUGCCACCGAGCGGCGUCCCCAGAGCAGAGGGCUGUUGUGCUGUGCAGCCUUCUGGUCUUUUUUCUCUUUAAGGCUGGGCUUCUAUUCCUUGGUAGCCUUCAUUUUUCUCUUAACAUUAUCAGUUUAUUUAAAAAUGUUCCUCCAACCCUGGGGAACCCUGUGCAAUGACCCAAGUUGACUUGGCAGAACAGGAAACCACGGCAUGACCCCUAGAGGGGGGCUUGCUGGGGACCAGGUUCCUGUGGCGAGACUUUGGCUUUCUUCCCUAGAGACACCGUUGCGCCCAGCAUAGGUGUGUUUUCCUCUGUGCACUCUCAGGCUUCCUCACACAAGGGUGUGGGGAACAACCCUCCUGAUGGGCUGUCCAUAUUCCCUCUGCACAGAGGCCUUCACCCUCAGAGGAGGAGCACAGGUCCCCUCUCCCUCUCCCUCUCCCGGCCUCUGACUUUCAUACACCCCACUUCUUCCCGCAGGCCCAGCAGGCGGAAUCUAGUGAUGUCUCAACUAACUGCUUUCCUAGGGAAGGGGAAGGGUCCUACCGCCUUCCCACCCACUGAUGCUCUCGGGGCCUUGUGUUCAACAGGACCUGGAUGUGGAUAUCCUGGCUUUAGUCAAUGACACCGUGGGGACCAUGAUGACGUGUGCCUAUGAUGAUCCCUAUUGUGAAGUCGGUGUGAUCAUUGGUAACUCAUUUAAACUUAUUUUUCGGAGGUGGGAGAAAGGGGCUUGUUUGGAGCUUAGUUUCAGCAAAACCUGAGUAAAUGAUGAGGGGGCUGACCCUGUCCAUUUAGGAGAAGCGACUUAAGGAGAUGGGAAAUUGAUUCAUUCAUUCACAAGUGUUUCCCGCAGGCUGUGGUGUGUGGGCCCUGGCCUGAGCCCUGGGCUCGCAGCCGUGGGCUCCUGUGCUCUUCUAGAGUUUGCAGAGGGGAGGUGGGGAAGGACAGGGAGACUGACACUCAUAAAAUAAUUUCUGGUGGUGGUGAGCAUGAUGAAGAAGUUAACACAGGCUGCCAUGACAGAGGGGUGAGGAGGAGAGGAGGAAGAGAGGGAAGGGUGGAGGUGGAGGGAGAGGUGUCCCUGGCAGGGAGGAGCCUCUAACCUCAGAGAUGAGUCCAGGCUGCUCGAAGGAACCUCAGAGGCUGAGGGUGGCUGCAUCAAGUAGGAGAAGGCUGGUGGGGGAGAGUGGGAGGAGGGGGAAAGGCCACCAGCUUUUACCCAAGGGGGAUGAGAAGCCCUGGAGGACUUUGAGUGGGGGUUGGAUAAAUGGAUAAGUGUUUUAAAACGCUUUCUUUGGCUGCUGCAUGGAGGAUCAAUUCCUGGGGACAAGGAUGAUCAAUCAAGAGGCUGUGCUGUCAGGGGACGUCAGGAGCCCCAGAGAUAUCCAGCAGGUGGGAGGGGCUCUGCAGGAGGGCCCAUGAGAAGGCAGGAGGGACCUGGUCUCUAGGUUGUUCUUGAAUAGCCACUUCUCCCCUUCCCAUUUCUCUACCACUACUGGGAAAGUUUUCUGAAUUGAUCUGUCUUAAUCUCCAAAAGCACCUCCUCAGCCCGACUGUCUGGAAGGGCAGAGUCUUUAAACCUGAGCAGCUUCCUGUGCCUUUCCAUUUCCAGGAGCCCCACACCUCAGAAUGGGGUGGCCUCCACCCAUGGAAUCCAGCUGCUGUCCUGUGGACAGGGUCUCACUGAGUUGCUUAGGGCCUUGCUUUUGCUGAGGCUGGCUUUGAACUCGUGAUCCUCCUGCCUCAGCCUCCUAAGCCGCUGGGAUUACAGGCAUGCGCCACUGAGCCUGGCCACGUUCUGCUUUCUUACAUUUCCCAUUUUUUCAUGUUGGCAUUUCAAAUACUCAGUCCAGCAUGUCAGAGAAAUAGAAAAAAAAUAUUUUAAAGACAUCUAAAGCAGCUUGUCUGAGGAAUAUUAAUUCUCAUGCUACAGGUGUGCAGUUCAGUGGCUUUUCGUAAACUCACAGAGCUUCAUCAAUGUCCUUUCUAAUUUUAGAACAUUUCCAUCAACCCAAAAGACUCCAAAAAGACUCCCCUUGCAGGGUUCCCCAAUACUGAAGUAUUUGAGGGAUUUUCCUGUAGUGAUCUUGUAUUUGGAUAUGAAUCGUUACUUUCUUAGGUGCUAGUUAAUCACUGUCACAGAUAAGAUAGCGCAUAUGCUAGAGCCAUUUUUAGCAGGGGGUAAGUAGAGUAUUUUUAGUGUCAAAUAAAAAGGAAUGUCAGUAGCUUACAGAGCAGCUUGCUCUGGGUUGGGUGAGUGGGCUUCCCCCCCAAUAUUUGCAAGAUCAGCUUAACUCAGCCUUCUCUUCUAAGUGCGCUUUGUCAGCUUUCAUGCAUAUUCAUGAGGGACGGCUUCAUAAUUGACUCCAUUCAUAACCGCCAUCCAUUAACACACUGAGAAGCACGGGCUCGGCAUGUCAGCUCUAUUCCUCAUGAGCUUGAGGCUUGCCAAAGCUGCUCUCCUCUGCCAGCACCAGCCCUGGGGAGUGGAUCAAAAGCACUUUGUGUGCAUUCUUCAGGACUCCAGGCAGUUGGGUUCUCCAUGUCCUGCCCAGCCGGGCGCCCUUUCCUCUUUGCAUAUUCUCUCUGAUCCCUUUUCCAGGAACUGGCACCAACGCAUGUUACAUGGAGGACAUGAGCAACAUUGACCUUGUGGAAGGCGACGAGGGGAGGAUGUGCAUCAACACAGAGUGGGGGGCCUUCGGGGACGAUGGGGCCUUGGAGGACAUCCGCACCGAGUUUGACAGGGAGCUGGACCUUGGCUCGCUCAACCCGGGGAAACAACUGUGAGUGCCCAUUUGCUCUGAUCUGGGCAUCGGCACCAGGCACUGCCUGAUCCCUGGUGCCUUGUACCUGGGAGGCUCUCCACAUGUGACCAGUCAUCUGUCACAAUGAGUUUAUAAGGCAAGGCUUGUAUUUCAGUUUUAUUUGGCAGAUGAACAGAUUGAAGCCAAGGAAGUGGUCUGGCUGUCUCCUAGGUCAUAUCCCUAGCUCUAGUUCCGCCCAUAUUUCUGGAGUAGGAUGUGCUUCAAGGCGUUGGAGAUGAGGCCGUGAACCAAACCACAGGUCUGGCCCUCUUGGAGCACAUAGGCAAGCAGCCACAGAAGGAACCCAGGCAUGCCAGGUGCGGUGGCACACGCCUGUCAUCCCAGAGGCUCGGGAGGCUGAGGCGGGAGGAUUGUGAGUUCAAAGCCAGCCUCAGCAACUUAGUGAGGCCCCAAGCAACUCAAUGAGACCCUGUCUCUAAAUAAAGUACAGAAAAGGGCCUGGCCAGGCCUUCCUUCUGUGUCUGCUGACCACACCCUUUCCAGCCUCAUCCCAUACACGUCUCUAUAUUUAGGUGUCUGCCGCAGCUCUUCAUCUACAUGCUGAGCUCCCUGAAGGCAGCUUACACGAUUGACCUUCCUUUCCUUUCUACACACUGAGUCUUACACAUUAUUGAACUUCAUUGAGAGUUUGUUAAGUGAAAGAAUGUUUAAAUUAAGAAAAAAAACAUAUAUAUAUAUGUGAAAUAUAUAUAUUUUCAUUCCCCUAGUACCAUAUGUAUAUAUAUAUAUGGUACUAGGGGAAUGAACCCAGGCCGCUUAACCACUGAGCCACAUUCCUAGCCUUUUUAAAAAGUUUUAUUUUGAGACGAAGCCUUGCUAAGUUCCUUAGGGCCUCGCUAAAUUGCUGAGGCUGGCUUUGAACUUGUGAUUCUCACCCUCCCAAGUUGCUGGGAUUAGGGGUAUGUGCUGCUGCACCCCAUAAAAAUUAAUUUUGAAUUACUGAAAAGUUGUGAAAGUAGUACAACGUUUCCCCAUACCCAUUCACUCAAAUUCCCCAAAUAGUAAUAUUCUAUCUCUCUGUAUAUAUGUAUGUCUGUGCUUAUAACACACAUAAAAUACACUUACAUAUGUAUGUAUAAGAUUAUUUUUUCUGAGCCAGGUGCAGUGGCACAUGCCUAUAAUUGCAGCAACUUGGGAAGCUGAAGCAAGAGGAUUGCAAGUUCGAGGCCAACCUCAGCUAUAUAUAUAUAUUGGGUACUGGUGAUUGGAUUCAUGGUCUAGCAAAGCUAUCACUCUGCCACUGAGCUACAUUCCCCACUUUUAAAAUAUUUUUUAAAUUAAUUUUUUUAUCCUCACUCUUUUAAAAAAUUUUUUCUUAGUUGUAGAUGGACAUAAUAUGUUUAUUUUAUUUAUUUAUUUUUAUGCGGUGCUGAGGAUCGAACCCAGUGCUUCACACGUGCUCGGCAAGCACUCUACCACUGAGCUACCCCCCCCCCCCAGCUUAUCCCCACCCUUUUUAUUUUUUAUUUUGAAAGUAGCUGAGAUUACGGUUAUGCACCACGUGCCUGGCCCCCACCAGUGUCUUUUUUUUUUUUUCUGAGCUUUAUAGUUAUACAUAGUAGUUGGGCUCAUUCUGACCAACAAACACACAAAAAAAUCGAUUUCAGUUCAUGAUCCUCCCUUUCCCUCCCAUCCUCCCUCCCCUCUCCCAUGCUCCUUCUACUCUACUUACUUUUGCUUGUCUAUUCACCAAUGUCUUUUUAAAAUAUAUGAUUUAGUUGUAGAUAGACACAAUACCUUUAUUUUAUUUAUUUUUAAAUAUUUAUUUUUUAGUUUUAGGUGGACACAAUAUCUUUAUUUUACAUUUCUGUGGCUCUACCACUGAGCCACAGCCCCAGCCCUUAUUAUUUAUUUUUAAUAUUUGUUUAGUUGUAGAUGGACACAAUAUCUUUAUUUAUUUACUUUUAUGUGGUGCUGAGGGUCGAACCCAGUUCACACGUGCGGGGCUGGUGCUCUACCACUGAGCUACAGCCACAGCCACCCCUCCCCCCUUUUUUAAAUGAGUUUCAAUUUCUUCCUAUCAUUGUUUAAUUUGAUGCUCCAAGUUUUUUCUCCAGAUUUAGCCAAAGGAAGUCCCUUCAAGCUGACUCCUGCGUCCUCAUGACAUGUUUUCAUUGCUCUUAAGUAGCUUGUCCUUUAGCGCAGAGAACAUGUCCCAAGUUCAUUUCCCACUUUCCCAGCCCCAGACGCCUUGGUGAAUGAAUAUUUAGGCACUUCCUAGAAAUCAUUCAAACACUAGAAAUGCAAACCCUCACAGCACAUUCCUGCCUUGGCUGUACCCACACCCAGCAUACCCCAGCUUCCCUGGGGACCCCAGGCAGUCAUGUUCCAAGGAAGUGGUGCCCAUUUUUUUUUUUACUUUUUUCAUUUUUAUCCGUUUCCAUUUCACUUAAGAUGAAUUCCAUUCUCUUGAAUCCUACCUGAAUUUCAUUUGAUUGUUUUCUGUUUCUUCAAUGUUCUAAGAUUUUUAAAAAGUGAAAUAUGCAAGGUAGAUUAUGAAAUAGAUUGCCCUUGACUUUGUGUCAUAUCAUGUUUGGAAAAUGAAACUUGUAGUUCACCUGGUGGGGGGCUGAGGAUUAGCAGCUGUCUGGUGUGCAGACUCAGAGGUAUAGGUAGCCUUCCAGAUAUUGCAUCCACCUUAUGGUGGAUCCUCUGUCUCACAGACAGCACUGUAACAAAUACCUGAGACAAUUUACUUAUGAGAAGGAAAGUUUAUUUUGGCUUGCAGUUUGGGAGAUUCCAGUCUAUGAUUGGUUGGCCCCACUGCUUUUUGGCCUGAUGUGGGUCAGCAUAUCAUGGUGGGAGCAUGUGGCAGAGGAGGCCCAUUCACCUCCUGGAUGGGUGUGAGAAAAAGAGAGGAAGAGGGAGGGACUAGAAUCCCAACAUCCCUUCCAAGGACACUCUCCAAGUGACUGGACAACCACCUUGUGGUCCCAUUUCUUAAAAUCCCACGACUUCCCAACAGCAUUACACAGAUUGAGCACCAAGCUUAUGACACAUGAGCCUUUGCAGGACACUCUAGGUCCAAAUGAUAGCAGCAUCUUUCUCUCUUGGAUAGAAGCUCAAUGGAAGUACCUGAAAUGUGAUUUGUCAUGCAAUGGUUAUGUGAUUCCUGGGAAGGGAAUGUUGAGUUUCCUUAUGCCCAAAGUAAGCAUGGCACCCCCACAGCCAGGGUGAUUUGAGAUAAAGAUUCUUGGAGCCCAGCAUUUUGUGAACAGGUAGGAAUCUUAGAUCUUCUCCAACUUAGCCCUUUCCUUGAUGAAGAGUGUCGAGGAAAGGAUGGUGCUCUUCUGCCAACGGCGUGCUGCACCUGGGCUGGGCUGAGGCCUCCUGAUCCACAGAGCUCUUAUCCUGCUCUUGACCUUGAGCCAUGGCUCCUGGUCUUUGGGAUAUGAUGCUGCAUAACCAAAGAUGUGGCUUCCACUGAUGUGUUCACCAAAUUGCAGGUUUGAGAAGAUGAUCAGUGGCUUGUACCUGGGGGAGCUUGUCAGGCUCAUCUUGCUGAAGAUGGCUAAGGCUGGCCUCCUGUUUGGUGGUAUGAAAUCCUCUGCUCUCCACACUAAGGGCAAGAUCGAAACACAACAUGUGGCUGCCAUGGAGAAGUAAGUCACUGACUGUGUCCCUCCUGCCUUGCCUCUGUGGGAGGUGGGUGGCCAGCGGAGCCACCCGUAGAUUUGGUGAUUUGAGUUCUUACACUUAGAUCCCUUCAAUGGGCUGCUGGUGGAGAUGGCUGGCCUUAGUCAUCUCAGUGUCCUGUUCCUCAGGCUGAGAAUCCCUGGCAUUGCCAUGGGCUGUGUAAUCAGUUUCGAUUCAGCAGACUGGCACUCACCCGGAGUCUGGGACUAUGCAGAUUUGGGCUACAUAGCACAGCGUGGUUAAAAGUAUGGGCCAUAAUCUAAUUACCUGAGUUCAAAUCUUGGCUCUAGCACUUAUUAACGGUGCCACCAAGGACAAGUUACCCUUGUUGUGACUCACCUCUCUCAUCUGUACAAUUUGGUAGUGACACUGCUUUUCCUUAGUAUUUUUGUGGAGAUUGAAUGUGUUAAUACAUAUGAAAUCCUUAGACAAGUACCUGGCGUAUAGUAAGUGCUCAAUAGAUAGUAACUGUUCUUAUCAAUGUUGAUAUUGUCAUUCCUCUGUCACCAUGAACCAGUCUAUUUGUAUAAUCCUGAGAGGUAGGAGAGCUGGUUCCCCCAGGAGGAUGUCCGUGGCAUGGGGAAGUAUGGUCCUCUCAUUCCUGUCCCCUGGCCAGGUACAAAGAAGGCCUUGGUAAUACAAGAGAGAUCCUGGUGGAUCUGGGCCUGGAGCCCUCUGAGGCCGACUGCAUUGCUGUCCAGCAUGUCUGCACCAUCGUCUCCUUCCGUUCCGCCAAUCUCUGUGCAGCAGCGUUGGCGGCCAUCCUGACGCGCCUCCGGGAGAACAAGAAGCUGGCGAGGCUCCGGACCACGGUGGGCAUGGAUGGCACACUCUACAAGAUACACCCUCAGUGAGUGCCGCCUGUCCAUCUGCAACCCCUCCAGCAGGUCUCUCCUGGGGCCGGGUUCCAGUGUUCUCACUGAACGAUGCUGUGUAUCUGGGCAGCUGGAAUGGAACACCCCUGUAUAGUUCUAAGAUUAAAAGGAAACGGUGAAUCCAAAGCCUACUUUCCCCUAAAUGGUUGGGUGCUUUUGGGAAUCACUCACGAAGACAUAGUCUGCUCAAGCCAAUUGCCUAAUUAGGAAGGCCAUCUAUCCAUCUACCCAUCCAUCUAUAUGGGUGUCUGUCCACCCAUAUAUCCAUCCAUCCAUCCAUCCAUUACUAUCUACCCAUUUCAUCCAUCCAUCUACCCAUCCAACCAUCCAUCUACCAUCCAUCCAUCCAUCCAUCUUUCAUUCAUUAUUUAUUGAAACCUACUAGGUGGUAAGAUUGGAAAAUAAUUUACACCCAGUUAGAGAUGGGAAAAAACAGCAGUGGCAGAAAAACAGAAUGGAAUCCCCUUUGACUAAUGGAGGUCAGGCUGGAAGUUGAGUGGGUACACCCUAGAAAGGGCUAAGAAGAAGAUUCUUCUUUAGACAGAGAAGAUGCCCAGCUAAUACAUUAUGCAUGGAUGUACCCCACUGGUGAAAUAUUAGCGGAUCAAAUAGGCAUUUCCUUGAGCCUCCCAAGUGUCCUUCCACUGUCCCAGCUGUCCUCGUCACCCUCCAUAACAUUUAGCAACUGCAGAUGCAGUCCCCACUCCACCUGGGUCUCUUCCCAUUAGUCAGACCUGACUGUUGAUAUUUUGCAUUACUCCUACUUCCAGGUACCCCAAACGCCUGCACAAGGUGGUGAGGAGACUGGUCCCAAACUGUGAUGUCCGCUUCCUCCUGUCAGAGAGUGGCAGCACCAAGGGGGCCGCCAUGGUGACGGCAGUGGCUUCCCGUGUGCAGGCCCAGAGGAAACAGAUUGAUGAGGUGCUGGCCUUGUUCCAGCUGACCCGGGAGCAACUGGUGGGCGUGCAGCACAAGAUGCGGACUGAGCUCGAGUACGGGCUGAAGAAGAAGACGCAGGCGCUGGCCACAGUCAAGAUGCUGCCCACCUAUGUCUGCGGGAUGCCCGAUGGCACAGGUGGGUCCGCAAGCCCUCUGUUCUGAAGGGCCACCCAGAGCUUCCAUCAAAACUCUCUAAGUUGGGUGUGGUAGUGUACAUCUGGAAUCCCAGCAGCUCAUGAGGCUGAGGCAGGAGGAUUGUGAGUUCAGAGCCAGCCUCAGCAACUUAGCAAGGGCCUAAGCAACUCAGUGAGACCCUGACUCUAAAUAAAAUACAGAAAAAGGCUGGGGAUAUGGCUCAAUGGGUAAGUGCCCCUGAGUUCAAUCCCCAGCACACACUGUGCCCCCCCAAAAAAACCCUCCCUAAAUCCAGGGAGGUAUUCGGUUUUCAGAUCGUUGGAUUCAUGUCUGUAAUGAAAGGAGGAGAUGAGGGUUCACUCUCCUUCUGAACUGUGGCCUCAGUUGACCCAAGGGGGUGUGUGUGUGCGAGCAUGCACGCACAUGUGUCUACGUGUGUAGGUAAGGACGUGAGCAGACCCAUUCUAGGAGCAGACAGAAGGCUCAGGUCCUCCUGUCCCUGAGCGUCCGUCUGGGUCAUUGGGCUGGUGUGGGCUGGUCGUCCUGCCGGUUCUCUCCUGGGGCUUGGACUGCUCUCCUUCCUCUCAUUGGUUUCUGCCCUGGACUUUUUCAACUCUUGAUCCUGGUCCUGCGCCUCGGGCUCAGGGGAGAGAAGCCUCUGAAGAGGACAGUAAGUUCUUUAGAAAAACUAUUUUACCUCUUCGAAUCUCAUGGACUUCUUACUGAAAUAAUGACCUUUGUGAGCUGAUUCACAUCUUAUAAUUUGCAUUUGAACCUUUACUUCCAUUUCAUCUCCAAAAACACUUUGUAUGUUUCUCAAAGAGGAAAUGAUUCCCAUUUUAUGGAUACCCAAACUGAGACUUAGGGAUUUAGUGACCUGCUGAGGUCACCUGUUCUGGAUCUCUAAACAACGAAGAUCUUUCUGAAGCCCAAAUCCUUUGAGUUUACAUGAGAAACACACCCACACAUACACAUACACACCCAAACACACCAUAAACCCCAAAUCCAGCUGGGUGUGGUGAUGCACACUUAAGAUCCUGAUGACUCAGAAGGCUUAGGCAGGAGGAUCACAAAUUUGAGGCCAACCUUCGCCACUUAGAAUCUGUGUCAAAAUAAAAAGGACUGAGGAUGUAGCUCAGUGGUAAGUGCCCCUGGGUUCAAGGUUCAAUGCACCAAAACAAACAACUCCCCUCCAAAAAAAAAAAAAAAAAAAACACAAAAACUUCAAAAACCUCCCAAAAUAAAAACAAAGAAAAAUCAAAUAUAUAAAAAAAUCUCAUAAUUACUUAAUUAUUCAUAUUCUUCAUUUCUUUCAUCCUUCUGCCUUCACUCCUCAAAGCUCUGUUACGAACCUACUGCUCUAUUCCAGGCACAGUAACCGAGCAGUGAAGUAUAGCCCCUGCCCUUGUGGGUGGGGCUCACAGCUGCUAGACAAUGAAUGAGUAAGUGAUAUCAGGUGUCGAGGAUCUCGAAUUCAAAACCAGUCUCAGCAAAAGAGAUGCAGUAAGAAACUCAGUGAGUCCCCGUCUCUAAAUAAAAUACAAAAAAGGGCUGAGGAUGUGGCUCAGUAGUCGGGUGCCCCUGAGUUCAAUCCCUGGUACCCACGCCCCCCACCAAAAAAAAAAAAGUGAGUGAGGCUGAGCGCAGGGAGAAGGUUCUUUGGGAAGGAGGCAGAUGAUGCGGGCAGCAGGGAAGCCAGAGGCUCUGACUGCACAUGGGGCCCACAGGUACCAAGGGGGAAGGACUUGACACUGUUUUUCAUUAGUCAGGCUGGGGUGUGUGGGGAUCAGGGGAAGGAGAGGGAGCAAGAAAAGUCAUCCCAUGCUGUGACAAGGAUCCCUCUAGGCUGCACAGACAGGAUGGAAACACCUUCCGGAGUCCUUGCGGUCAGGGUCACCUAGCCCAGAGUCACCCUCAGAGGCCUCUUGCAAGUCAGUUUCAGUGUGUCCUUUACCAGACACCCUGUUCCUAGAAUACGGUGCCUUGGGGCUUCCUAACAGGCCACUGCGGGGUGGAACUUAGAGCCUGAAAGGCCCUCAGAGGCCCAACCUUUUAUUCUGCAGAUGUGGAAAGGCAGGGCCUGGCCACCCUUGCUUAAGAUGAAAAGCCAUCUUUCAGAGCCACUAGGUCCCUUUCCUGCAGUUCAGGGCCCUUAUUGUGUCACCUCACCAGUGAUAGUUUAGGGGCACCUGGCCUUUGCAGUCUGGCCUCAGACAGGUGCAACCUCCCUGUGCAGGACCCUGACCCUCUCUGGUCUGGAGCCCAGGAAGGCCGGCUCCAGGUCUGCUGGGCUUGGGCCUCUCCUCCUCCCCCCAGUGCCCUGACACAAGUCCCUGCUGAGUGCAUGCUGGAGAACACAGCCUUCACUUUCUCCCCACAGAGAAAGGAAAGUUCCUGGCCCUGGAUUUAGGGGGGACUAACUUCCGGGUCCUCCUGGUGAAGAUCAGAAGCGGACGGAGGUCAGUGCGAAUGUACAACAAGAUCUUUGCCAUCCCCCUGGAGAUCAUGCAGGGCACUGGCGAGGAGGUGAGUGUAGGGAGGGAGUUUCGUGCCCCGUGGGCGCCACUCGCACCCUGAUGGGUGCCCGGUGGUAUGGAUGUGUCUCUCCCCCCAGCUGUUCGACCACAUCGUGCAGUGCAUCGCCGACUUCCUGGACUACAUGGGCCUCAAGGGUGCCCGGCUGCCUUUGGGCUUCACCUUCUCCUUUCCCUGCAGGCAGAUGAGCAUUGACAAGGUGAGG
rnacentral:lncRNA from 1 species